UACGUAGGGUGCAAGCGUUGUCCGGAAUUAUUGGGCGUAAAGAGCUCGUAGGCGGUUUGUCGCGUCUGCUGUGAAAUCUGGGGGCUCAACCCCCAGCCUGCAGUGGGUACGGGCAGACUAGAGUGCGGUAGGGGAGAUUGGAAUUCCUGGUGUAGCGGUGGAAUGCGCAGAUAUCAGGAGGAACACCGAUGGCGAAGGCGGGUCUCUGGGCCACUACUGACGCUGAGGAGCGAAAGCGUGGGGAGCGAACAGG
rnacentral:rRNA from 1 species